ACCGCAUAUAUUAUUCCCAAUCAGUUGCACCACGAUUUUCAUUUAACGGGGCUGAACCCAGCGAGCACUCCGCCGCAGAGGGCCGGGAGGGCGCGUUGAGGCCGCGCUUCCCUCCCGCUUCGCGCUCUCCACGGGGCCGCAACGCCGCCGGUUGGUGCGAAGGGACCGAACGUCACCGCUGCUCCGCGGCCCUCACGCGCCGCCGGCGGCCGCUGCUCCCG
rnacentral:lncRNA from 1 species